CUGGCACAACGUGGGCACUAAGAUUUUGUGGGACGAGGAAACUGGUGGCAGGAUCAAAUAUUGUGGCUAAAGGCCACCCAGGGGCAGGUGGCAAUUACUUAUUGCACAUGCUUUCUCCAGCCUCAGCUGUCCUCCAGGGAGCUGGACUCACCGAAGUCACACCUGAGUCUGUACUUGCUGAAGGUAGGUUUUAGGGGAAAAAUUAUAACAGGUUAAUCUGAAACUUAUGACAGAGACUGAAACUGAAUAUUUGAUAGUAAGAUGAAGAGACAAAAGAGUGGUGUGACUUCAUUUACCGGAUGGCACCAAUCCUCAAACACCUGAAAGGCUGCCCAUUACCUAAUUGAAAAAAGAACUCUCCACAAAACUGUGUUUAAGAAUUCGUUUUUUUGGGGGGGGGGGUGCCUGGGUGGCUCAGUUGGCCAAGUGGCUGCCUUCCGGCCAGGUCAUGAUCCUGGGGUCCUGGGAUGGAGCCCCAUACUAGGCACCCUGCUCAGCAAAAAGCCUGCUUCUCUCUUUCUCUCUCUCUCUGCUCCUCCCCCUGCUUGUGCUCAUGCACUCUCUCUCUCUCUCAAAUAAAUAAAUAAAAUCUUUAAAAAAAAGUUCAUUCUUUUCUUUAAUAUAGGGGGUGCUACUUGCUAGUUUGAUGAUUGCUGAUAAUUGCUCCUUGUCCUUUCAGGCUGGCAGUCAUACUACCGACUGCUUGUCACUGUGUGCUCUCCUGGUUAGAUUGGAAGCUCCAUGAAGUCAGGGACUGUGCAUGCCCUCGCCCCUGAAUUCAGGGCUUUUUGUUCCAACAAAUACUCGUUUGAAUGAACGGCUGAAAACUGAGGGUGGGGAGAUUUCACGGUCACACAAAAAUCCAAGCUGUCCAUGAGCUUUUUCUGUCCUUUGGAUCGUGAGUGGAGGAAAGAGAGAAGGAAGGAUGAGAUGAUGUGGGGGGAGAGGGAGAAAGGUGAAAGGAGAGGAAGAAAGGGACCUUCACUGCCCCCCUCCCCAGCCUGUCCUGACAAAGCGCACUAAUAUGAAGUAUGCACAAGGGGGCAGGCCAGAGCUGCUGUGAGCACCAACCUGUUGGCUACUUGGAUCUUUGGUAAUGUUUUUUUUUUAAAUAAUAACUGUUAAUACAGAGUUGGUUUGUAAGCUCACUCUUCUCUUAUUAAAAGGCACUGAAAAAGCCAAAUCCUUCUUUAACGGUGCCAUCAUGUAUUCCCCAAAGCACAUUUUAAUCCAUGUUAAAAAGGAACAAAAUAGGCAUUUGAGGGUCCUUGUGUAUUUUUGUGGCCUCUUUGUAGAAGAAUUAAAUUGGUUCCAGAAAGGAAUCAAGAAGUUCAGGAUUUCAGGCAACCCAUUCCCAAGGCUUGACUUAGGCUUCUGUACUGAACAUGAGCUAUUGAACUGCGGUAGUUUUUGUUUUGUUUUUUGAGGUUUUUUGUUGUUGUUGUUUUUUAAAGCGUGGACUCUAGUUCAGGUUUUCUCUCUUCCUAGAUGUGUGGCUUUGAGUAAGUCCCACUUAGCAUCUUUGGAAUAUAUAUAUAUAUAUAUAUAUAUAUAUAUAUAUAUAUGUAUAUAUGCAUAUAUAUAUAUUUUUUUUUUUUUUUGCAAAAGAAAGGGACUUUUAUUUCUCAAUCCAAUGAAAGUAUGGAUUGCAAGCCAUCUACAAUCUACUAGAGACCACAUAAGUAUGAAGAAGAAAGAAGGUGACACAGGCAAAGGAACCAUCAUGACAAGUGAAAGGAGGAGUAGAGGUGGAGGUGAGAAGUUUAGGCUAAGAAAAAUGGGGCUCAUUUUGGGCAAACACUGGACCAAGAUCUCUAAAACUUUAAUUCUUUGUAUUUUCACUUGGAUGUCUUCCAGAGACCCAGCCUGCACCACAUCAAAGGCCUCUUCUUCUUCCCAUAAACACUCUCUCUUUCCCAGCAUCCUUGUCUGUUAAUAGCACAUUCACUGUACUUCCUCUGAACCCAGACCCAAACCUGGACCUGGACCCAGGCACCCUUGCUGGCUAUUGAUCUCAGAGCCAUAGUCUGGUGGGGAAGGCAAUAAGGAGGUGACACAUACAUAGGCCAUUUUAAGUGCUGGUGAGUUCUACAGUGAAGAGGGGGAGGGGUGCAGAGCGGGGUGGGGGGAAGAUGCUGGGGGGCGGCCUGGGGUGGGAGAGCUUAUGCCUGAGAAAUAUCGGGAGUUGAAAGACAGCCUCUGUGACACAGGGUAGUGAGCAAGUAAGAAAGGAGCACGAUAGGUGUGGAAGAGGCACCAAGGAUCCUCCAGGCCUACCAGGGAUGGGUUUGUUCUAAGGGAGAAGCAGACCACCUUUCAUUCAAUCCUUUUACAUCGUCUCUAUCCAGUCACCAAAUCUGGCUCAUCAUUGCUUCAAAUAUCUUUUCUAUCUCUGAUCUUCUUUCACAUUUAUAGUCUGACCUGAGCCUUUCUGGAGUGCCUGGACAGUCUCUUCAUUGACCUCUCCACCCCCAUGUUUCUCUCACUAUGUCUGCAAACCGUGGCCAAAUGACCCUCCACUACUUCAUGCUAUUAUGCCACCCCAAAUCUUCAGUAGCUUCUUGCUGCCCAUCGAAUGAUGAUUACCUUCCUCUUCUUCACGACGAUCUUCAAUGUCACCGCCACAUUUUAGCCACUCUGCCUUAGUGCCUGAUGACACGCCCUCUGUCCCACUGUAGGAAGCCUUCUCUCGGUUCCAGGCACUUGAUGUGUGCACAUUUGGGGGGUGAUGUAUGGGUGCUUUCAGCCCCCCACUUCCCCUUCCUGACAGGAGCCAGCAUGUCCUGCUUGGUUUCCACUUCUUCACAUAGUGGUCAUUCCUCCCCUUCCCCCUGCCUAGAGCGUCUCCAUUCCUGCUACCAUCAUUGCUUUGGGGAAAACAAGCAGACUGACCCAAACCAGGCCAAUGAGACUGCAUUUUGGGUUCUUGACCCCUUGCAAGAGAUGCUGUCUCUCCUGGAUGAUGUAUGCAUGGAUGUGAAACCACCAGAAAGCCACCAGUGAGGCUGGUAUUGUGGAACGCAGGGUGAGGAGAUGAGAAGAAACAAGAUCCCUCCUUGAUGACAUGGGACACUGGGCUUUACAGGUACAUGAGCCAAUGAAACCCCUUUAUCACUUACGCUAGUUUGAUUAGGGCUUUCUGUUGCUUGUGGUCGAGAUCACCCUAACAGCCUAAGUCUGUUAUAGACCAGGCACUGUUCCAGCAAAGCUCUGCACUCAUGAGGUUAACCUCCUAACUAUGGGGCUUGGAGGAGCCAUUCCAAAACAACAACAAACAAACAACCCAAAACCAAGAAAUAAACAAGGUAAUUUAAUAUACUGGCAAGUUCUAUGAAGAAAAGAAAAUGAUACAGAAGAGUUGGACAGAAGAAGACUCUUUAGAUUGAGUAGUCAGUAAAGGCUUCUCUGAGGAAGUAACAUUUAAUAUUUAAAGAGAAACAGGAGCUAGCCAUGGGCAAGAGGAAGAAUAUUCCAAAGGGAACAGACAGUGCGAGAGCCCUAUGGCAGGAAAAAGCUUGCCAGAGGGCGGUGGCUGAGCCAGGGGGAAAAGUAGUACAUUCUGAUGCUCCUUUUUAAUCCCUUAAUUACCUCUCCCUCUUUCUAUAACACUUUUAAAGAUAUCAAGGCCUCUUUUAUGCCCCACCCCCUUCUUGAACUUUCGCUGAUGCUGACGGAGUUAAGGAUCCCUCCUCCUUUGGGCUAUAGCGCUAUAUCAUCCUUUGCACCUGGAUACUAGAACUUGGACAGGAGUUCCAAUGUACUGUGUUCUAUGGCCCUCAAAAUCUUUUCUCAUGAUUUUCUUGGUUUUCCAUAAUUUGAUUCCAGUCUUUGAGAGCAUCUUAUGUUUUUGGUGUGUCUGUCACAAAAGCUUAAUGGUAGUCAGCUUAAUUAUUACGAGAAUACAUCAUGUUUCUAGAUUCACUGCCUCCCUACCAGGGUACAUUUGUAAUAUGAGACUGAACCACAUAGAGCUGUAAUUUUGGGUGGAGUCAAGAGCAUCAAACUUCGGCAAUUUUGUAUGGUUUGGCUCAUAUCAUCUCAUCUUGA
rnacentral:lncRNA from 1 species